rnacentral:lncRNA from 1 species
GUCCACAGAAAAAAGACCAUGUGAGGAGAUAGCAAGAAUACCCUAUCUGCAAGCCAUGGAGAGGUCUCAGCAGAAACCAAAACUGCCAACAACUUAAUCUUGGACUUCUAUCCUCUAUAAAUCCUACUCAACGUGAAGAUGAUGAGAAUGAAGACCUUUAUGAUGAUCUGCUUCCACUUAAAGAAUAGUAUUUGGCUGACUCCUGGACUAUGCAAGCACAAGAAGAGAUUUCAGAAGGUUUGGAAGAGAGUCUCUUCUGAGAGGCUGAGGGCUAAGAAGACUGCCCUGUGCAGGAAAGAUGUUGGAGUGCAAGCCCAUCUGGAAUGGAGAGACCUCGAUGAAACACAUAGGCAAUUAAUUAGAUCCCAGAAAGGCCACACUGUGCAAAACCCUGAGGUAUCAUGAAGAAAUCCAUAUGCCCUGAAGUUACCAUCCUAGAGACAUCAUUUGGAGAGACUACAGUGCACAGAAGUAGAGAGGCCCAGCUGUGCCUGUCCCCAACUGAUGGAGUCUUCUCAGUGUCAGUCACCAGACAUGCCCAUCAUGAUCUGAAGGCAGCGGUGGUUGCUGGUGGAGGAUGUGAGCUUUGGAACUGGAGCUCUUUGAUUCAAAGCUCUGCCGCUUACUCACUGGAUAAGACCAUGAUCAAGUUAUUUCAUCUGAAAAAUUGAGUUGACUGCAGGUAACUGAAACUGCGGAAAGUGAAACUGCAGAUAAGAGGGACCACUGUAAAUAAGUGACAUGAAUGAUACUGCAAAGGACCAUAGCCUAACCAGCCAAGCAAACUGGAAGUACCUUUAGACUCACGCUUUGCCAAGCUCAGUUCCAGAAUCACAUGAUGAAAAGAAUGAUGGAAAGAAAAUGUUUGUGAUAUUAAAAUUAAGGAAAUUACUCCAACUCAGAGCUUUGAAUCUUGACAGAGUGUUGCAAAGACAGAAGAAAUGGUAAAGUUUCAUUUCCUUAUUUUUGGCAACUGGAAGACAAAUUGCCUACUUGUUCCAAACCUGGUUCACUAGCUAUCCCUCAAUUCCCAUAAGCUUCCCUAUUAUUCUUCCAUAAAGUUCCUUUUUUGCUGUCAUUACUGAAGCAAUACAGAAUCACAAAA